CCUACGGGAGGCAGCAGUGGGGGAUAUUGCACAAUGGGGGAAACCCUGAUGCAGCGACGCCGCGUGGGCGAAGAAGUAUUUAGGUAUGGAAAGCCCUAUCAGCAGGGAAGAAGAAAUGACGGUACCUGAGUAAGCAGCACCGACUAAAUACGUGCCAGCAGCCGCGUUACUACGUAUGGUGCAAGCCUUAUCCGGAUUUACUGGGGUUAACGGGAGCGCAGGCGGCACGGGAAGCCUGAGGUGAAAGCCCGCGGCCCAAUCGAGUGACUGCAGUGGGAACUACCGGGCUGGAGUGCCGGAGAGGUAGGCGGAAUGCCUAGUGUAGCGGUGAAAUGCGUAGAUAUUAGGAGGAACACCAGUGGCGAAGGCGGCCUACUGGACGGUGACUGACGCUGAGGCUCGAAAGCGUGGGGAGCAAACAGGAUUAGAUACCCUAGUAGUC
rnacentral:rRNA from 1 species